ACCCCAUCUACAGGUGAAACGUGGCUGAUGGCAAGUGGCAUGGCGAUCAGAGAAGUCAAGAAGUUUCUUUAGCUUAAAACAGUAUAUUUGGGUAAAAUAUUGAAUGCCAGGAAGAAUUGAUUACAACAGCAGUCUACCGAAAGCUUUUGGCCCAAUGUGGAGGCGGUAAUGGUAAUUCUAGCUAUUCCAGGAAAAGAAAGAAAGAAAUCGAUCUUCGAAACAAGUCCCUACCUCCUAGUUCUUCUACCAAAGUAUGCAAAUAUUUGCGACAUUGCCGCCUUUUUUGCACUGGGAGCUAGACUCAAAACAGAAACAGAACUACAAAAGCAGAGUAAUAGAAUACUGAUAUCUGACAAAAGUAUUGAAACAGAACUAGGAAAGAGACAAAAGGAGCUAAUAGCUAUGGUGUUCCAGUGGGCGAUGAGAGUUUCAUCACCAAAACUGGUGGAAGCUACCAAUUGAGAAAAGUUAUAGAGAUGUUAGUUGAAUUGAAUGCUUGGCAUCUGGAAUGUUUGACACACCGUGGAAUUCCGUAGACUGAUGCUCUCUUAAGUAAGGUGAGCUGUGUUGGACCGUAACUGCCAAGUGAAAUUCUGUCAGUUUGUGAACACUGAAAGGUAAUUAUUUACCAACACUUUUUGCAUUAUAUGUAAUCACAAGCAAGAUUUCUAUAACUGAUUGUGUUUUCAAUGUAAUAAGCCAACUCACGAUUGUACUUAUCUGUAAUAGUCAAGUUUAACUUACUGUAGUGUUUUUCCAAUUAUGUAUUAUCUUUGUUUCUAAAUAUUGUCAUUUUUAUUUUAGAUUUCUCUUAAGAACUAUGUGGGGGGUGUUUGUUUAGGCACUUGAGAUUGUUGGACUAAAAUAAGAAAGUUUAAGCUUUGAAAUUUGAAUCCUCAGGUCAUUCCGUAAAUUUGAUGGGCAUUAAUGCAGAGAUUUUUAGUGUUGUGAUAACAGAAAUGUAGACUAGCUGACAAAGUGAUCAAAUAACUAAAUUUUUAACAUGGACAGCCGGAUGUAGAUUUAAAAUUGGUUGGUGGAUAAACAAACGUGUAGAAAAGACCGGACUGGGCACUUCAUUGAGGCUAGAAGACUGAUCAUCUAGAUUUAUAACUACUGAAAACAAGUUAUUGAAUUUUCUGUAAAAAUAUUGAAAUGACCAAGCCAAAUUCUAAACAACAAUAUAGGUUUAUUCUACAUGGACAUGACGGUGAAUGGUGUCCAGAACUUGCCUUUCAGUUAGGGUAACUUAAAGAAAACUGAAAGAAUUCGCAAUAUAUUAUUAUUUGAACAUCUGUUACUCCGCCUAAAUCCCAUUCUUCUCAAGAAAAAGUGGCACCUGCGUCAUUUAGCGCAAUCAAAAUCUGCGCUAACGAGAAGCUUUUUUGGGGAAAUGGUUAUAGCAAGGAGUACAUCAAAAGUGCUUCAAUUCGGAUUUUAGGCAGUUUUGAUAUGAGUGAAUUGUAAGUCAUAGUGAAUCGGUUCCAAAAAAUAUUUACCAGCACUCAAUAUUUCCCUGUAGCUCAAAGUUUAUCGACGGUGAUGUUAUAAAAUUCUACCACUCAGCGUGGGCCUAAGUUGUUGGCAAUUGGCUCAUCAGAAAAAUAAAAGGUUAAGUCUAGGAUAGGAUUUGGCAAAGAAUUAAAAAUCAAUAACUUCUCCGAAGCACACAGAGAAUAUCGAGGAAUAGGUGAUGUCGUUACAAGUUUUCCGAAAUGAAUGAGGGAAUUAUUUUAAUUC